AAAAAAAAAAUUGUGAAUGUUAAUUGUUUUUGGAAAUUAUUAUUUAUUAUUCAAGUACUUUGAUGUUGCUAUCUUUAUCUGCUUCAGAUUUAUUGAUUUGCUAUUUAACAUAAUUAUUCUAGCAAAUGUACAUUAGAAAAAUGAUUCAUGGAAAACAUCUUGUGAAAAGUGAAUAUGCUCCUCGUCCCAUAUUGUAGAAAUGGAGCAUUUUCAUACUGGUCAUUGUACUUUCAAUUCUUCUCUCUCUCUAUUUAUAUUGAUGUUGAGAGAAAUAAUAUAUUGUAAAUGCUUAUCUCUUGAUUUCAAAAUUUUAUGCAGAAUGGGUAGCCAGCCAGCUGCAAG
rnacentral:misc_RNA from 1 species